AACGAACGCUGGCGGCAGGCUUAACACAUGCAAGUCGAACGAACUCUUCGGAGUUAGUGGCAGACGGGUGAGUAACGCGUGGGAACCUACCUUAGGUACGGAACAACAGUUGGAAAACGACUGCUAAUACCGUAUGUGCCCCUAUGGGGGAAAGAUUUAUCGCCUAAGGAUGGGCCCGCGUUGGAUUAGCUAGUUGUGGGGUAAAGGCCUACCAAGGCGACGAUCCAUAGCUGGUCUGAGAGGAUGAUCAGCCACACUGGGACUGAGACACGGCCCAGACUCCUACGGGAGGCAGCAGUGGGGAAUAUUGGACAAUGGGCGCAAGCCUGAUCCAGCCAUGCCGCGUGAGUGAUGAAGGCCCUAGCGUUGUAAAGCUCUUUCAGCGAGGAGGAUAAUGACGUUACUCGCAGAAGAAGCCCCGGCUAACUUCGUG
rnacentral:rRNA from 1 species